GCAACAUGUUGUGCACAAAGAAAUGUUUAAAGUUACUGUUGACGAUCUUUUUUGCGUCUAAAUUUGUUUAUGAGGUCAAAACCUCAAGUUGUAACCAGUACAGCGGCUCUAUAUAUAAAGGUUGGAGACUUUACGAUACUAUUUAUAAGAAAAUUAAUGUGAAUGACAAAUUAAAAUGCAUCACACUUUGUGUAAAGGAGCCAUGUUGUCUAUCAGUAAACCACAGGGAAAGGUUUAGCCAAGGACGUUGGAGUCUUUGUGAAAUGUUACAUAGUGCUCUUAACGAAACCAACACAAGCAAUUUCAAAAAAAAUCGAUUUUAUCAGUACAUUUUUAUGAAUUCACGUUUCAAGAAGUUUAAUGCAUUAUGUGAGACAAAAUCGUGUAAGUUUUCUUUGC